GACGGAGGAUGCAAGCGUUAUCCGGAAUGAUUGGGCGUAAAGCGUCCGCAGGUGGCAGUUCAAGUCUGCUGUCAAAGACCGGGGCUUAACUUCGGAAAGGCAGUGGAAACUGAACAGCUAGAGUAUGGUAGGGGCAGAGGGAAUUCCUGGUGUAGCGGUGAAAUGCGUAGAUAUCCGGAGGAACACCGGUGGCGAAGGCGGCUUCCUGGACCGACACUGACGCUGAGGCGCGAAAGCUAGGGGAGCAAACGGG
rnacentral:rRNA from 1 species